AUGUUGAAGGGGGGAUGAGAUGGUAUAGACCCUGUGUUUCCCUGGCUCUGCAGCUGACAGUGAGUUGCUGUCUCUGCCUUGCAGCAGCUGUCCUGUCCUGCUUUUCUGCCUUUCUUGGAACUCAUUCCCCAAGCACUGCCCAUGCCCAGGGGCUGAGGCUAGCCAUGGCUCCUCUCUGACUUUCUGUUAAGUUCAGAUGUGUCCCAACCCAGGAGCCAUUCUCCUAAAUAGGAAGUUCAUAUUGCUGACCGAAUCUCUACAGGAAUCUCCUUAGCUUUGCUGUCUCCACCCAAAUGAUCUCCAGUCAUCUUAGAAUUUGGGGUAAAAAAAAAAAUCCCACAGACCUAGUUGUCCAAGGUGGGUUUUAUUUAUUUAGGGCUGACUUUGGGUGGGGCAGCUUUCUGCUGCAUACCCUCCUCCAUGCCCUGUGUGCAUUAGAUUCCUUGGCGUUGGUCUUGUCUCAAAGAAAUUCCCAAGGGGCCUGGCUGUUUUCACUUGAGUGGACUGAUGCCUGUUCUGUUCCCCCUGGCUCCUCAGCUUGGAUGUGUGCUUGGGAGAUACAGUGCCUAGAGCUUAAGAUAACUCUUUCCCUUUCUUUGGGUGGCAGCAAAUGUUUUAGGAAAAGAGGGCAGGGUCUAUGUUGAGAAUGGCUAAGGUGUCAUGUGCAGUAAAUACCACUCCGUUUCUGUUCUUGUCUAUAUAUGAGCAACAAAUUUUCGUUUCAUUUUAUUUCAACACUAGGUGGAAAUUAGGACCACAUGGAAGGCAGGCAUUCUACCACUACCCUGCAUUCCUGUGCAUAUCCUACUUUUUUGAGGCAGGGUCUCAUUAAGUUACCCAAGUUGAUCUCAACUCAUGAUCUUCUGAGGUCUAGAUUUCAAUGCCUAGGAUGCAAUACUUAGGUUGUGAGUAGGCAGUAGGAUUAGCACAACAUGAGCUGCUAGGAAGGCAUUUCUGUUUGAGGUUUAGGUUUGUGCAGUUUAUAAUUUUCAUAUAAAAGGGGCAGAUGACCUUGCAUGGUGUAUGCCCGUAUAGAUGGGAAUAGCAUACUUUCACCCUCUCCUUCAUGUUUGCUCUUAAAUGUGACAUGUUUAAGAAUGUGCAUUGAAACUGGGCUUGGUUGUGCAUGCCUUUAGUCCCAGCAUUCAUGAGGCAGAGAUGAACUGAUCUCUGUGAGUUCAAGGCUAGCCUGGUAGCCUGGUCUACAAAAUAAUUUCCAGCACAGCCAAGGCUGUUACACAGAGAAACCCAGUCUCAAAAAGCC
rnacentral:lncRNA from 1 species